ensembl:lncRNA
GUCUUCAUAGAACCAUUAAACUUCAGCUUCUUCAGCAUUACUUGUUGGGGCAUAGACUUGGAUUACAGUGAAUCGGAAUGGUUUGCCUUGGAAAUGAACAGAGGUCAUCCUGUCAUUUUUGAGAUUGCGUCUAAGUACUGCAUUCCAGACUCUUUUGUUGACCAUGAUGGCUACUCCAUUUCUUCUAAGGGAUUCCUGCCCACAGUAGUAGAUAUAAUGGGCAUCUGAGUUAAAUUCACCCAUUCCAGUCCAUUUUAGCUUGCUGAUUCUUAAAAUGUCAACGUUCACUCUUGUCAUCUCCUGUUUGACCACUUCCUAUUUGCCUUGAUACAUGGACCUAACAUUCCAGGUUCCUAUGCAAUAUUGCUCUUUACAGCAUCAGACCUUGCUUCUAUCACCAGUCACAUCCACAACUGGGUGUUGUUUUUGCUUUGGCUCUGUCUCUUCAUUCUUUCUGGAGUUAUUUCUCCACUGAUCUCCAGUAGCAUACUGGGCACCUGCCGACCUGGGGAGUUCAUCUUUCAGUGUCCUGUCUUUUUUCCUUUUCAUACUGUUAAUGGGAGUGGCAAGCGGUGGCUGUGCAGCGCUGGGGUGGCAAGCAGCCAAGAGGAGCUACCCCUCGUUCAAGACAAGGAGCAGAGGCUGCACUUUGCUGGAACAGCCAUGAAGAGAUACCCCACAUCCAAGGAUCUCCCUGGUGGCUCAGAUGGUAAAGCGUCUGUCUACAAUGCGGGAGACCUGGGUUCGAUCCCUGGGUCUGAAAGAUCCGCUGGAGAAGGAAAUGGCAAUCCACUCCAGUACUCUUGCCUAGAAAAUCCCAUGGACAGAGGAGCCUGAUAGGUUACAGUCCAUGGGGUCGCAAAGAGUCGGACACGACUGAGCGACUUCACUUUCCAACGUGAAUAAAGGGAAUGGUGCCCAGCCCUUAGCAGGCACUCAACAACUGGCAUUGGGGUGUAACGGCCUCAUAAUCACCAGGCUGGUGGGCCCCUCUGACCCUCUGACUCGUCCUCUGUGGGUA